UUCCUUUUUAGAAAAAGGCGAUUCAACAUGAUAAUCUCUCCUUUCUCCUUUGUUCAUGACCGAGCUCUCUCCUUUCUCAUCCCUUCAAUCACAAUUCCUUACAUGAAAUCGGAUCCAUAUCAACAAAAAUAAGGACAAGCAUAAAAACGAUGAAAACAAAUAAAGGAAGCAACAACCGACAUAAAAAAUGCAAAUAAUGAAAUAGGAAGAAUAAGAAAAUGAAAGUGAAGCAGAAUGAAGCAACAAACUAAAGUGAAUGGCGUGCAGAAAUGUAUUAUGAAGGAAAAAAUUUGUCCAUAUAAUCAUAAAUGUUGCUCCAAGGAUGAGGACAAAGUAAUGAGACCACACUUGUAAGUUGGGAAAUUACUACACUUAGCAUUUUUAUAUUGUCUUUGUUCUCCAUGUAAAAAGUGUACCAAUCUUGAUGUAAGAAAUAAGUGAAGAUAAUCUAAUUGGUAAACAAUGUUCAUGAUUUUUUUUUUGAA